rnacentral:rRNA from 1 species
UACGGAGGGUGCAAGCGUUAUCCGGAUUCACUGGGUUUAAAGGGUGCGUAGGCGGGUAAGUAAGUCCGUGGUGAAAUCUCUGAGCUUAACUCAGAAACUGCCGUGGAUACUAUUUGCCUUGAAUAUUGUGGAGGUGAGCGGAAUAUGUCAUGUAGCAGUGAAAUGCUUAGAUAUGACAUAGAACACCAAUUGCGAAGGCAGCUCACUACACAAUCAUUGACGCUGAGGCACGAAAGCGUGGGGAUCAAACAGG